GAUGAAGAACGUAGCGAAAUGCGAUAAGUAAUGUGAAUUGCAGAAUUCAGUGAAUCAUCGAAUCUUUGAACGCACCUUGCGCCCUUUGGUCAUUCCGAAGGGCAUGCCUGUUUGAGUAUCAUGAACACCUCAACUCUUCAUGGUUUUCCAUGAUGAGCUUGGACUUUGGGGGUCUUGCUGGCCUGUGGGUCGGCUCCUCUCAAAUGAAUCAGCUUGCCGGUUUUUGGUGGGCAUCACAGGUGUGAUAACUAUCUACGCUUGUGGUUUUCCACCAGGGUAACCUUCAGCAGUGGAGGUUCACUGGAGCUUACAAAUGUCUCUCCUCUGUGAGGACAGCCCUUUGAAUGUUUGAUCUCAAAUCAGGUAGGACUACCCGCUGAACUUAAGCAUAUCAAUAAGCGGAGGA
rnacentral:misc_RNA from 1 species